rnacentral:rRNA from 1 species
UACGAAGGGGGCUAGCGUUGUUCGGAAUUACUGGGCGUAAAGGGCGCGUAGGCGGUGAUCUUUGUCAGAGGUGAAAGCCCGGGGCUCAACUCCGGAAUUGCCUUUGAAACGGGAUUGCUUGAGUCCGAGAGAGGAUGGCGGAAUUCCUAGUGUAGAGGUGAAAUUCGUAGAUAUUAGGAAGAACACCGGUGGCGAAGGCGGCCAUCUGGCUCGGUACUGACGCUGAUGCGCGAAAGCGUGGGGAGCAAACA